rnacentral:rRNA from 1 species
GUCUCAAAGAUUAAGCCAUGCAUGUCUAAGUAUAAGCACUUGUACUGUGAAACUGCGAAUGGCUCAUUAAAUCAGUUAUCGUUUAUUUGAUUGUACUUUACUACAUGGAUACCUGUGGUAAUUCUAGAGCUAAUACAUGCGAAAAAUCCCAACUUCUGGAAGGGAUGUAUUUAUUAGAUUAAAAACCAAUGCGGACCUCCGGGCCCGUUUUCUUGGUGAUUCAUGAUAACUUUUCGAAUCGCAUGGCCUAGCGCCGGCGAUAUUUCAUUCAAAUUUCUGCCCUAUCAACUGUCGAUGGUAAGGUAGUGGCUUACCAUGGUUAUAACGGGUGACGGAGAAUUAGGGUUCGAUUCCGGAGAGGGAGCCUGAGAAACGGCUACCACAUCUAAGGAAGGCAGCAGGCUCGAAAAUUACCCAAUCCCGACUCGGGGAGGUAGUGACAAGAAAUAACGAUACGGGGUCUUAAUAGGUCUCGCAAUUGGAAUGAGUACAAUUUAAAUCCUUUAACGAGGAUCAAUUGGAGGGCAAGUCUGGUG